UACGGAAGGCAGCAGUGGGGAAUAUUGCACAAUGGGCGCAAGCCUGAUGCAGCCAUGCCGCGUGUAUGAAAAAGGCCUUCGGGUUGUAAAGUACUUUCAGUCGUGAGGAAGGUGUUAAGGUUAAUAACCUUAGCAAUUGACGUUAGCGACAGAAGAAGCACCGGCUAACUCCGUGCCAGCAGCCGCGGUAAUACGGAGGGUGCGAGCGUUAAUCGGAAUUACUGGGCGUAAAGGGCACGCAGGCGGUUAAUUAAGUUGGAUGUGAAAUCCCCGGGCUUAACCUGGGAAUGGCAUUCAAGACUGGUUAGCUAGAGUCUUGUAGAGGGGGUUAGAAUUCCAUGUGUAGCGGUGAAAUGCGUAGAGAUGUGGAGGAAUACCGGUGGCGAAGGCGGCCCCUGGGACAAAGACUGACGCUCAUGUGCGAAAGCGUGGGGAGCAAAC
rnacentral:rRNA from 1 species